ACACAUGCAAGUCGAGGGGCAGCGCGGGAUAGCAAUAUUCUGGCGGCGACCGGCGGAAGGGUGCGUAACGCGUGAGCGACAUGCCCGUUGCCCGGGGACAACCGGUGGAAACGCCGACUAAUCCCCGAUGGGAUACGAUGCUGCAUGGCAUUGUAUUGAAAGUUACGGCGGCGACGGAUUGGCUCGCGUCCGAUUAGCUUGUUGGCGGGGUAACGGCCCACCAAGGCUACGAUCGGUAGGGGUUCUGAGAGGAAGGCCCCCCACAAUGGGACUGAGACACGGCCCAUACUCCUACGGGAGGCAGCAGUGAGGAAUAUUGGUCAAUGGGCGGAAGCCUGAACCAGCCAUGCCGCGUGCGGGAAGGAGGCCCUAUGGGCUGUGAACCGCUUUUGCCUGGGGGCAAUAAGGGCGUCGCGCACGCCCGAUGAGAGUACCAGGCGAAUAAGCAUCGGCUAACUCCGUGCCAGCAGCCGCGGUAAUACGGGGGAUGCGAGCGUUAUCCGGAUUCAUUGGGUUUAAAGGGUGCGUAGGCUGUGCGUCAAGUCGGGGGUGAAAUUCCGGUGCUCAACACCGGGGCUGCCCUUGAUACUGUCGCGCUGGAGUGCGGAUGCCGCCGGAGGAAUGAGUGGUGUAGCGGUGAAAUGCUUAGAUAUCACUCAGAACACCGAUUGCGAAGGCAUCUGGCGAAUCCGUAACUGACGCUGAGGCACGAAAGCGUGGGGAUAGAACAGGAUUAGAUACCCUGGUAUUCCACGCCGUAAACGAUGAUGGCUAACCGCCGGCGACACACUGUCGGUGGCCAAGCGAAAGCGAUAAGCCAUCCACCUGGGGAGUACGUC
rnacentral:rRNA from 1 species